rnacentral:miRNA from 1 species
UAUAUAUAUAUGUAUGUGUGUGUGUGUGUGUGUAUAUAUAUAUAUAUAUACAGUCAUACACACAUACACAUAGUCACCAGUAUA